UGUGAUUCGCCAGGCCACACAGCCCUCUAUGGCACUUACACACUGCUUGAGACAGUUGCCAAUAGGAUCAUCCACUUUGAAUUGGUCAAGUCAACAGAAGUCUCAAGCAGCAAUGCCAUGGAGGUACAUGGUCUAAAGAACUGCCUUGCCUACCUUGAAGCACAUGACAUGGUUGUGGACACCAUAGUGACUGACCGCCACACUGCAAUAAAGUCUGUGUUAAGGGAAUUGUGUCCACACAUCAAACACCGUUUUGACGUGUGGCACGUUGCGAAAGGGAUCAAGAAAAAGCUUGUGUCUCUCAGCCGCUCCACAAAGCACCACGUUGUGAAGUUCUGGAUAGAGAGCCUUAUCCGACACAUAUACUGGUGUCCAAAGUACAGUGGGGAAAGUGGUGA